AUGAUUCUCACACCAUUGUGAUGGGCGUGAACCAAGAGACGUACGAGUCAUCCAUGGAAUGCGUCUCCUGCGCCUCUUGCACCACAAAUGGGCUCGCGCCAC
rnacentral:ribozyme from 1 species